rnacentral:rRNA from 1 species
GUCUACAGCCAUUCCACCCUGAACGCGCCCGAUCUCAUGCGAUCUCGGAAGCUAAGCAGGGUUAGUACGUGGAUGGGAAAUGCAGCAGCAC